CAACUCAUUAUUCCUACACCCUAAUAACCUAAAACCCUAACAAUCAAACCAUUUUACCACCCAAGUAUGGGCGACAGAAAAGGACUAUUCGAAGCAAUAGCAACAGUACCGCAAGGGAACGCUGAAAGAGAAAUGAAACAAAUCAGUAAAGCAUAAAAAAGCAGAGUUUAACCCUCGUACCUUUUGCAUCAUGAUUUAGCAAGAAAACAUCAAGCAAAGAGAACUUUAGUUUGAUACCCCGAAACCAAGUGAGCUACUCCAAGACAGCCUUUUAGGGCGAACCCGUCUCUGUGGCAAAAGAGUGGGAGGAGCUUUGAGUAGAGGUGACAGACCUACCGAACUUGGUUAUAGCUGGUUGUCCAGGAAUUGAACAGGAGUUCAGCCUUUUGCCCUCUUUCCCCACUUCUGGCUACACCCAAAGCCCACAAGAGGACAAAGGAGUUAAUCAAAGGGGGUACAGCCCCUUUGAAAAAGACACAACUUUCCCAGAAGGGUUAAGAUCAUAACAUAAAUUAAGGAACAGUGUUAUAGUUGGCCUAAAAGCAGCCACCCACACAGAAAGCGUUAAAGCUCAUACACCUCCCUUCCCCUAUUAUCCGGACCACAACAUCUUACCCCCCUACACAUACUGGACCUGCCCCAUACACAUAUGGGAGUGAUUAUGCUAAUAUGAGUAAUAAGAGACCCAGACUCUCUCCCCGCACAAGUGUACAUCGGAACGAACCCCCACCGAAAAUUAACGGCCCCAAAGAAGAGGGAACUGAAAUAUAAUGGCCAAGCCACUAGAAAAAUAUCCACAAGCCCAAACCGUUAAACUCACACUAGAGUGCACACAAGGAAAGACUAAAAGAAAAAGAAGGAACUCGGCAAACACCUCUAGCCUCGCCUGUUUACCAAAAACAUCGCCUCUUGCAAUCUAAGAAUAAGAGGUCCCGCCUGCCCUGUGACUAUUGUUUAACGGCCGCGGUACUCUGACCGUGCGAAGGUAGCGCAAUCACUUGUCUUUUAAAUGGAGACCUGUAUGAAUGGCAUAACGAGGGCUAAACUGUCUCCUUUUUUAAGUCAAUGAAAUUGAUCUCCCCGUGCAGAAGCGGGGAUAAACACAUAAGACGAGAAGACCCUAUGGAGCUUUAGACAAAAAGCAGACCAUGUUAAACAAACCCGGACAAGGGCUUAAACUUAGUGGGAACUGCCCGACUGUCUUUGGUUGGGGCGACCACGGAGUAAAACAAAACCCCCGUGUGGAACAAGGGCAUCCCCCUUUAAAACCAGAGUGACAACUCUAAUAAGCAGAAAUUCUGACCAAACAUGAUCCGGCAAAGCCGAUCAACGGACCGAGUUACCCUAGGGAUAACAGCGCAAUCCCCUUCUAGAGCCCAUAUCGACAAGGGGGUUUACGACCUCGAUGUUGGAUCAGGACAUCCUAAUGGCGCAGCCGCUAUUAAGGGUUCGUUUGUUCAACGAUUAAAGUCCUACGUGAUCUGAGUUCAGACCGGAGUAAUCCAGGUCAGUUUCUAUCUAUGAAAUGAUUUUUUCUAGUACGAAAGGACCGAAAAAAAGAGGCCCCUGCUACAAGCACACCUCCCUUUCACCUAAUGAAGACAACUAAAAUAGGUAAGAAAGCAUAUCCCCUUUGUCUAAGAGAAAGACUG
rnacentral:rRNA from 1 species